rnacentral:rRNA from 1 species
UGGAGAGUUUGAUCCUGGCUCAGGAUGAACGCUAGCGGCAGGCCUAAUACAUGCAAGUCGAGGGGCAGCACGGGUAGCAAUAUCUGGUGGCGACCGGCGCACGGGUGCGUAACGCGUAUGCAAUCUACCUUUAACUGGUGAAUAGCCCCGAAGAAAUUCGGAUUAACACACCAUAAUAUAUUAGAGUGGCAUCACUUUUAAUAUUAAAACUCCGGUGGUUGAAGAUGAGCAUGCGUGACAUUAGCUAGUUGGUGAGGUAACGGCUCACCAAGGCUACGAUGUCUAGGGGAUCUGAGAGGAUUAACCCCCACACUGGUACUGAGACACGGACCAGACUCCUACGGGAGGCAGCAGUAAGGAUAUUGGACAAUGGUGGAAACACUGAUCCAGCCAUGCCGCGUGAAGGAUGACGGCCCUAUGGGUUGUAAACUUCUUUUGUACGGGAAAAACCUCUUUACGUGUAAAGAGCUGAUUGUACUGUAAGAAUAAGAUCGGCUAACUCCGUGCCAGCAC